rnacentral:lncRNA from 1 species
CCAUAUCAGCACACUGCAUCCGGAAGUCAUGCUGUUCUUCAUGCCAGAGAUAUGAACCAUAAGAGACCGCUGGUUAGAACCAGGAGUGAACAUAUAAGGGGCCUGCAAUAUGCUCUGCCUUGCUGCGACCCUCCUGGCGUGCCAGAUGGCACAACCAACAGCUCACCACGACACGGUUCAGCCAAUACCAACCCAAUGAAAUAGGCGCAAUCCAGUCGCUCUGACUGGAUUCCGCCUACGCACGAUUCCAGCACGAUGAAGCUUACCCGUCUGGUGCGUGACACGUGCACGCAGCCUGGAUAGCCUCCGCCGCGGAAAGGAGGGGGAAUGGAGUGCAGCGGGCGGUCCGCCGGAGAACAUACAACGGGGCAUAACACUUAUAAAUGCGUCCAUAACUUCUCAGCUGCGGGUUUCUCCAAAUACACACGCACCUAUUGAGGCAGGGCUCUAAGCCAAGCCAAGCCGAAAACAUGAAAGCACUGCUGCUAUGGCUGCUUCAGCACUCUUAACGGCGGCAGGGGAACUUCCGUAUCCUUGAUAACAGCUAUCAACAGAACCUCAAAUGCAGCCGCUGCCGCGCCCAGCUCUCAUCGCUCGUGCACCGAUAUGCAACGCAGCCUGUCGAAAUUUGACCAGCCCCAGCAAUUGCCACUACGCCCUGUCUCCCAUACGCACCAUCGCCGCCGUCUCGGGCAUGGGGCGUACGGUAGGAAAAUAUCAGCUGCAACAUGUACGGUAUCAUAUUGUGCAAUAGGAAAUGAAUAGGCAAAGCAUUGCGCCUCGAUCUCUAUCCCCCAGCAGUAGCAGCAGCAGGCGCGGCACCAACAGUAGCCCGGGAAUGCGACGCUAGCAUCUCCCCUGUCAAGAGCACCAGACCAGAGGCCGCAACAGUCGCGUGGAUAUCCCUUUCUCCUCAGCGAGUUCCUUCAUUGAACGUUUUCCUAUUCCCCUGUUUAACAUUACCUUACCUCAGGUUUGCUUCUAGGAAGCAAACGCCUUCUAGCACCCGUAAAGGAGUGGUGAUGCAAACUUGUAAGUAAUAACAUAGCACAGCGUAGCUACCUGCGUGGCGAAUAUGUGUGGUUUGGUGAGCAUGGCAUUGUUCGUGUUCAAAUGUGGGUGCACGAGAGAAACGAAGACGAGCAGACACUCAUACAAUCUUCGCGAUUAGGCAGCUGGACUGCAAGCCACGGGACCGUGGCAAUAGAUCCACAUGUUAAAGUGUGAGUAUGUGGAA